rnacentral:rRNA from 1 species
GAUGAACGCUAGCGGUAGGCAUAACACAUGCAAGUCGAGGGGCAGCUGGCUUGGUAGCGAUACUGGGUGUCAGGCGACCGGCGGAUGGGUGAGUAGCGCGUACGUAACCUACCUUGUACAGUGGGAUAGGCAUUGGAAACGGUGUAUAAUACCACGUAAUAUUACCAUUAGGCAUCUUUUGGUAAGGGAAGGGUUUUUACUUGGUAUAAGAUGGGCGUGCGUAGGAUUAGAUAGAUGGUAGGGUAAAGGCUUACCAUGUCUAUGAUCUUUAGGGGUUCUGAGAGGAAGGUCCCCCACAUUGCAACUGAGAUACGGUGCAAACUCUUACGGGAGGCAGCAGUGAGGAAUAUUGGUCAAUGGGCGGAAGCUUGAACCAGCCAUACCGCGUGCAGGAAGGCGGCCUUAUGGGUUGUAAACUGCUUUUAUAUUUGAAUAGAGAUUGUAUCGGGAAUACGAUUAGGAAAUUAGGGUACGAAUAAGUAUCGGCUAACUCCGUGCCAGCAGCCGCGGUAAUACGGAGGAUACGAGCGUUGUCCGGAUUUAUUGGGUUUAAAGGGUGCGUAGGCGGUUAAUUAGGUCUAUGGUAAAAUAGUUAUGCUUAACAUGAUUAUGCUGUGGAUACCGGUUGGCUAGAAUAUAAGUGGCGUAGGCGGAAUGAAGCGAGUAGAGGUGACAUUCAUAGAUAUGCUUUGGAACACCGUUCGCGUAGGCGGCUUACGAGGGUAAUAUUGACGCUGAGGCACGAGAGCGUGGGUAUCGAACAGAAUUAGAUACUCUGGUAGUCCACGCUGUAAACGAUGAUAACUAUAUGUCGGCGAUAUAAUGUCGGUGUAGGAGUGAAAGCGAUAGAGUUAUCCACCUGGGGAGUACGAUUGCAAGGUUGAAACUCAAAGGAAUGGACGGGGGCCCGCACAAGCGGAUGAGCAUGUGGUUAAUACGAUGAUACGCGAUGACCCUUACCCUGGCUUAACGUGAGAUGG